CCUACGGGAGGCAGCAGUGGGGAAUAUUGGGCAAUGGGCGCAAGCCUGACCCAGCAACGCCGCGUGAAGGAAGAAGGCUUUCGGGUUGUAAACUUCUUUUCUCAGGGACGAAGCAAGUGACGGUACCUGCUGUAUAAGUCACGGUUAACUACGUGCCAGCAGCCGCGGUAAUCCGUAGGUUGCAAGCGUUAUCCGGAUUUACUGGGUGUAAAGGGCGUGUAGGCGGGAAGGCAAGUCAGAUGUGAAAUCCAUGGGCUCAACCUGUAGACUGCAUUUGAAAAUGUUUUUCUUGAGUACUGGAGAGGCAGACGGAAUUCCUGGUGUAGCGGUGAAAUGCGUAGAUAUUAGGAGGAACACCAGUGGCGAAGGCGGUCUGCUGGACAGCAACUGACGCUGAGGCGCGAAAGCGUGGGGAGCAAACAGGAUUAGAUACCCCUGUAGUC
rnacentral:rRNA from 1 species